rnacentral:rRNA from 1 species
AUUGAACGCUGGCGGCAUGCCUUACACAUGCAAGUCGAACGGUAACGGGCCUUCGGGUGCCGACGAGUGGCGAACGGGUGAGUAAUACAUCGGAACGUGCCCGAUCGUGGGGGAUAACGAGGCGAAAGCUUUGCUAAUACCGCAUACGAUCUACGGAUGAAAGCAGGGGACCGCAAGGCCUUGCGCGGACGGAGCGGCCGAUGGCAGAUUAGGUAGUUGGUGGGGUAAAAGCUUACCAAGCCGACGAUCUGUAGCUGGUCUGAGAGGAUGAUCAGCCACACUGGGACUGAGACACGGCCCAGACUCCUACGGGAGGCAGCAGUGGGGAAUUUUGGACAAUGGGCGCAAGCCUGAUCCAGCCAUGCCGCGUGCAGAAUGAAGGCCUUCGGGUUGUAAACUGCUUUUGUACGGAACGAAAAGCCUUCUUUUAAUACAGGAGGGUCAUGACGGUACCGUAAGAAUAAGCACCGGCUAACUACGUG